GACGAACGCUGGCGGCGUGCCUAAUACAUGCAAGUCGAACGCAGUGGGGACGGGGGAGUAACACGUGGGUAACCUCCCAUCAGAGGGGAUAACACUUGGAAACAGGUGCUAAACCGAUACUGAUGGAUGAACCCGCGGUGCAUUAGCUAGUUGGUGAGGUAACGGCUCACCAAGGCCACGAUGCAUAGCCGGCCUGGGAGGGUGAUCGGGCACACUGGGACUGGGACAACGCCCCGGCUCCGACGGGGGGGAGCAGUUGGGAAUCUUUGGCAAUGGGCGGAAGGCUGAACGAGCAACGCCGCGGGAGUGAAGAAGGUUUUCGGAUCGGAAAGCUCUGUUGUGAGAGAAGCGGUAACUAACCAGAAAGGGACGGCUAACUACGUGCCAGCAGCCGCGGUAAUUC
rnacentral:rRNA from 1 species